rnacentral:rRNA from 1 species
UACGAAGGGGGCUAGCGUUGUUCGGAAUUACUGGGCGUAAAGCGCACGUAGGCGGAAUGUUAAGUCAGGGGUGAAAGUCCCGGGGCUCAACCCCGGAACUGCCUUUGAUACUGGCAUUCUCGAGUCCGGAAGAGGUGAGUGGAAUUCCGAGUGUAGAGGUGAAAUUCGUAGAUAUUCGGAGGAACACCAGUGGCGAAGGCGGCUCACUGGUCCGGUACUGACGCUGAGGUGCGAAAGCGUGGGGAGCAAACAGG